rnacentral:rRNA from 1 species
GACGAACGCUGGCGGCGUGCCUAAUACAUGCAAGUCGAGCGAAGUUUUUCUGGUGCUUGCCCUAGAAAAACUUAGCGGCGAACGGGUGAGUAACACGUAAAGAACCUGCCUCAUAGACUGGGACAACUAUUGGAAACGAUAGCUAAUACCGGAUAACAGUAUUUCUCGCAUGAGAGAUAUUUAAAAGUUGGUUAUGCUGACACUAUGAGAUGGCUUUGCGGUGCAUUAGCUAGUUGGUGGGGUAAAGGCCCACCAAGGCGACGAUGCAUAGCCGACCUGAGAGGGUGAUCGGCCACACUGGGACUGAGACACGGCCCAGACUCCUACGGGAGGCAGCAGUAGGGAAUCUUCCGCAAUGGGCGAAAGCCUGACGGAGCAACGCCGCGUGAGUGAAGAAGGAUUUCGGUUCGUAAAGCUCUGUUGUUAGGGAAGAAUGGAUAUGUAGUAACUAUACAUGUAAGAGACGGUACCUAACCAGAAAGCCACGGCUAACUACGUG